rnacentral:snoRNA from 1 species
GCAUGAUUGAUUUGAGAUUGGACCCACUCUCAUGGUCCCUGUCUCAGUGUACCCAUGCAAUAUCAGCUUGAGUCAGACCAUUGGCUGGUCCUAGACAGUGGACUUGAUCACUGAAGUGAGUCAGACAUUC